rnacentral:rRNA from 1 species
AUUGAACGCUGGCGGCAGGCUUAACACAUGCAAGUCGAGCGGAGCGAGGGUGCUUGCACCUUAGCUUAGCGGCGGACGGGUGAGUAAUGCUUAGGAAUCUGCCUAUUAGUGGGGGACAACAUUCCGAAAGGAAUGCUAAUACCGCAUACGCCCUACGGGGGAAAGCAGGGGAUCUUCGGACCUUGCGCUAAUAGAUGAGCCUAAGUCGGAUUAGCUAGUUGGUGGGGUAAAGGCCUACCAAGGCGACGAUCUGUAGCGGGUCUGAGAGGAUGAUUCGCCACACUGGGACUGAGACACGGCCCAGACUCCUACGGGAGGCAGCAGUGGGGAAUAUUGGACAAUGGGCGGAAGCCUGAUCCAGCCAUGCCGCGUGUGUGAAGAAGGCCUUUUGGUUGUAAAGCACUUUAAGCGAGGAGGAGGCUACUUAGAUUAAUACUCUGGGAUAGUGGACGUUACUCGCAGAAUAAGCACCGGCUAACUCUGUGCCAGCCGCCGCGGUAA